CAUUUUUCUUCUAGUCUCUCAUAGAAACUUCUGGCCUCUGGACACUGUGGGAGCAACUUUUCCUUUAUUAGACUGUCUCCUCUUUAACUGAAGAUACUUUAGCACAGCAAGCAUCUCUUUUAUGCUUACAUUAUGCAGUUAUGCAGACUUGGUGUACGUCCUUCAAGGACAGUCUAAGAAUCUUUGAUUCUAUUUCUGCUGGAUACAUUGUUGCAGAGAUGUAAGAAGGAAGGACUUAGAAAAGUAUGCUAUAAGAAUUGAAUGCUCAGAGGCAAGCUAACUUCACAAGGAGAAAAGAAAGAUGGAAACAGCCUAGACAAACUCAAAUCAAGUCCAGGAGACUUACGCUAGAGUUGCUUUUUCUAAUAGAAGAGACCAGUGUGCAAUUGUGAAUUGUGAUGCUGAGGCAAGCCCCAAGGAUGAAGAGAAUUAAAUAGAGGAGGAAGAGAAGAGCAUGACUGGGAAGCCUGUCCUUCAUUACUUCAAUUGAAGAAGAAGAAUGGAGUCCAUCCGGUGGCUCCUGGCAGCAGCUGGAGUAGAGUUUGAGGAAGAACUUUUUGAAACCCAUGAAGAGUUUGAGAAGUUAAUCCAAGGUGGAACCCUGAUAAGAGAAGGAGAUGAACCUUGAAUACAUCCUCCACCGAGCUACAACAAGAUUCUUCCCCGUUUAUGAGAAGAUCCCAGCUCCAGUCAACAAGAGGAAGCAUUCUUAUCUUCUGAGCCAUCUUUCCACCUCUACUGAACUCUCCUGGAUUCUAUUUUCUUUUUAAGGACUUUAAGUGUAGCUCCAGUACUAUUCAUGGUCCUGGUAUAGUCAGUUACCUUAUUUAAGUUUGAAGUCCAAUAGUACCUUCUAAACAAGACCCCCAGGGCCUCCCACACUGGGGUAGUAGGAUGAAAGUUAUCUCUCAAGAGCCUCGAACAGCACCAGAGCUUCAGGAAGCAGGACUCCAUGAGUUCUGUGAUUACUUAAAAAGUAAUGCUGUGUAUUGUUUCAAAUUUUUCACAUCUGCAAAAUGAUUCCUGGAAAUCAUGUGCUGUAGGCGCACAUUUAAAGAUGGUAUCCCUGACUCCGGGGUUGGGUGGUUCUUUGGUGACAUGUGAUCUUCUCCCAGGUGUAUUCAUUGUCAUAAGUACAGAUGUAGGGGGAAGAUGAUGAAAACGUGACUCAUCCUUUGAAGAAAAAGCCAGAUGAAUUUCCCAAACUCACCUACUAUACUGGCUUUGUUAUCUUUUCUGUACUAUAGGACAUGCUUAGAAUUGAAAGAUUAGUACAUACAUUUAAAUGAGCAUGUAUUUGUCAUGAGCAUGUAUUUGUUACUGUACACUUAUCAUGAAUUACAGGUACCCUACCUUCUUAAAUUAUAUUCUUUCUUAAUUACACUUAGUAAGUUUUUAGUCUUUUUGUUUCAAAAGAUAUCAAACUAUAAAUACUAUAUACUGCA
rnacentral:lncRNA from 1 species